rnacentral:rRNA from 1 species
CGCCCAACAGCUAGCCCCACCAAUCAAGAACAACAAGUCACUGUUAAUAACCCCAAAUGCACCAACAUCAUUAUUAAACAAAUCAUUUUUCCCCCUUAGUAUGGGCGACAGAAAAGGGACCAGGAGCAAUAGAGAAAGUACCGCAAGGGAACGCUGAAAAAGUAAAUGAAAGAACCCAGUAAAGCAUAGAAAAGCAGAGAUUUAAACUCGUACCUUUUGCAUCAUGAUUUAGCUAGUAAACCUCAAGCAAAGCGUACUUUAGUUUGACCCCCCGAAACCAGUGUGAGCUACUCCAAGACAGCCUAAUAUAGGGCACACCCGUCUCUGUGGCAAUAGAGUGGGAAGAGCUUUGAGUAGAGGUGACAGACCUACCGAACCUGGUUAUAGCUGGUUGCCUGAGAAAUGGAUAGGAGUUCAGCCUCCCGGCUUCUCUAUUCAAAGCCUAUUAACCGCCAAACAAAACGAUAGAUGCAAGAGAAACCGAGAGAGUUAGUCAAAAGAGGUACAGCUCUUUUGAAACAAGAAACAACUUUCCCAGGAGGGUAAAGAUCAUAAUAAGAAUAAGGUAAAAUGUUUUGGUGGGCCUAAAAGCAGCCAUCCCUCUAGAAAGCGUUAAAGCUCAAACAUACCCCCUAUCCUAUUAUCCCGAUAACCCAAUCUUAGCCCCCUAGUCUUACCAGGCCGCUCCAUACAAAUAUGGAAGUGACCAUGCUAAUAUGAGUAAUAAGAGAGCCUCGCCUCUCUCCUUGCACAAGUGUAAAUCGGACUGGACUCCCCGCCGAAAAUUAACGAUCCCAAACAAAGAGGGUACUGAACGAUAAACCAGAUAACGAGAAAAUCAUUCAAUAACUUACCGUUAAACCCACACUGGUGUGCUCCAAGGAAAGACUAAAAGAAAAAGAAGGAACUCGGCAAACACAUGAAGCCUCGCCUGUUUACCAAAAACAUCGCCUCUUGCAAAACUAUGAAUAAGAGGUCCCGCCUGCCCGGUGACUAUAAGUUCAACGGCCGCGGUAUUUUGACCGUGCGAAGGUAGCGUAAUCACCUGUCUUUUAAAUGGAGACCUGUAUGAAUGGCACGACGAGGGCUUGACUGUCUCCUUUUUCCAGUCGAUGAAAUUGAUCUCUCCGUGCAGAAGCGGGGAUACCAACAUAAGACGAGAAGACCCUAUGGAGCUUUAGACGCCAGGACAGACCAUGUCAAGCAACCCCUGACAAGGGGUCAAACCAAAUGCACCCUGUCCCAAUGUCUUUGGUUGGGGCGACCGCGGGGAACUACAAAACCCCCACGUGGAAUGGGAACACCCUCCUACAACUGAGAGCUUCCGCUCUAGUGAACAGAAAUUCUGACCAACAAGAUCCGGCAACGCCGAUUAACGGACCGAGUUACCCUAGGGAUAACAGCGCAAUCCCCUUUUAGAGCCCAUAUCGACAAGGGGGUUUACGACCUCGAUGUUGGAUCAGGACAUCCUAAUGGUGCAGCCGCUAUUAAGGGUUCGUUUGUUCAACGAUUAAAGUCCUACGUGAUCUGAGUUCAGACCGGAGCAAUCCAGGUCAGUUUCUAUCUAUGACAUGAUCUUCUCUAGUACGAAAGGACCGAGAAGAAGAGGCCCAUGCUUAAAGUACGCCUCCCCCCGACCUGAUGAAGACAACUAAAACAGACAAAAGGGCAUAACCCCGCGCCUGAAAAAAAGGCAU